UAUUAAAAUUUUUAUCUAUUUAUAUUAUUAAAAAUUGGUGCGACUGACAGAAUAACCAGGCACUCCAUGUAUACCUCAUGUUGAUGUACAAUAACAAAUUUUUAAUAAUAAAAAUAGAUAAAAAUUUUAACA
rfam:Gossypium arboreum cultivar AKA8401 contig_235_9, whole genome shotgun sequence.